UGACAUGUGAUUGGUAGGGAAAUGAAAGAUUAAAUUUAAUAAAAGUCACCAGAGAUCUUCAAGAAUAAGACUGGUACCCCAAGUAUAAAGGAAAAAGACACAGACCAUAAAAGGGAGAAAAAACUUUUGUCUUGGGUGUUGAAGGAUCCUGAGAAGUACCUUGCACUCUCUGGCAUUCUGAAAGGUGGAAAGCAAGCAGCUGCAUAAAGGGCAACCAGCAACUUUCCAGAUGGUAGAAGCAUCAUUUGCCUGGAGUGAGAAGAUGUAGAACAGAGUUCCAAGUUGUCCUGUGAUGAACAUGUAAUACUAGCAAGAAGUACACUAUUGUUACGCUAAUCUACUGCGUUUGGGAGCUUUUAUCUCAGUAUAAACUAUACUGUCCUGGUCACCCUCACAGUGUGAUUUGGAGAAAUUCAAAGAAGACGAUUCUUUAUGGAA